CGAAAGCCUGACGGAGCAAGACCGCGUGAGGGAGGAAGGCUCUUGGGUUGUAAACCUCUUUUCUCAGGGAAGAAGCUCUGACGGUACCUGAGGAAUCAGCCUCGGCUAACUCCGUGCCAGCAGCCGCGGUAAUACGGGGGAUGCAAGCGUUAUCCGGAAUUAUUGGGCGUAAAGAGUCCGUAGGUGGUCUUACAAGUCGACUGUCAAAGCCCGCAGCUUAACUGCGGAGAGGCGGUGGAAACUGUGAGACUUGAGUAUGGUAGGGGUAGAGGGAAUUCCCAGUGUAGCGGUGAAAUGCGUAGAUAUUGGGAAGAACACCGGUGGCGAAAGCGCUCUACUGGACCAUAACUGACACUGAGGGACGAAAGCCAAGGUAGCG
rnacentral:rRNA from 1 species